rnacentral:rRNA from 1 species
UCGAACGAGAGAUGAGGAGCUUGCUCUUCAAAUCGAGUGGCGAACGGGUGAGUAACGCGUGAGGAACCUGCCUCAAAGAGGGGGACAACAGUUGGAAACGACUGCUAAUACCGCAUAAGCCCACGGCUCGGCAUCGAGCAGAGGGAAAAGGAGCAAUCCGCUUUGAGAUGGCCUCGCGUCCGAUUAGCUAGUUGGUGAGGUAAUGGCCCACCAAGGCGACGAUCGGUAGCCGGACUGAGAGGUUGAACGGCCACAUUGGGACUGAGACACGGCCCAGACUCCUACGGGAGGCAGCAGUGGGGAAUAUUGCACAAUGGGGGAAACCCUGAUGCAGCGACGCCGCGUGAGGAAGAAGGUCUUCGGAUUGUAAACUCCUGUUGUUGAGGAAGAUAAUGACGGUACUCAACAAGGAAGUGACGGCUAACUACGUGCCAGCAGCCGCGGUAAAACGUAGGUCACAAGCGUUGUCCGGAAUUACUGGGUGUAAAGGGAGCGCAGGCGGGAGAACAAGUUGGAAGUGAAAUCCAUGGGCUCAACCCAUGAACUGCUUUCAAAACUGUUUUUCUUG